UCUUGUUCUACGCUCCCCUUGCUGUGUCUCAAAAAAAUUUCUUGGAUUAAAAUCCAAGCUACUGACCCUUCGAAAACCCUUUCUAUAAAUCCCCAAAUCAAAAGAAAAGAUAGCGCCAUUCAUUUGGUAGCUGGAGGAAAGCCCCUCUCCUCUCCUCGUUCCAUCGUUUAGGGCUUUCGUCUUCGCCUCGAUUCCUCCUCCUCCUAUCUAGGCUGGGGGGUUAAGAAGAAAAGGAAGAAAUGGACCCCGUCGCAUCCGUGUUGGAUAGAAUCAAAGGGUUCGUGAAAUCCACCGAGCAAUUCGUGAAGGGCGCGAUCCAGCGGCGCUUCGAUUUCCACCGCCACGAUCCAAUAGGGAUUCUGAAGCGCUUGCAACGAGAAGCAUUUUCUGACUUGAUGAAGCUUAGGGAUAGGCAGGACAAGGUUGAGCGCAUGCUUUCAUUGCAUAAAUCUGGAAAAGGAAGUCUUUUCCCUGAAGCCAGCACACGCAUGAAAGGAAUCAUUGAUGUGGCUGGAGCAUUAAUGCUUCGUGAUGAUCAGCAAACAUGUGAUACCCUGGAUAGAGCGGGAAUAAAUUCUGGCAUAGACUCAAGGUUUAUUUUUGAGACUACCGUCAGGCAAAAGGAUUCUCUUGUAGCAGAAUUUAUGUCGAGUAGCAAUGACAUUUAUUAUGAUAAUGAUGUUGCUGGGAGCCCCCUGGUACUAGCAAAAGUAAUGUACCUGGCGCAUAUUAAUGAACUGUUGUCUGUAAUUUCAAUACCAUUUGGGGCUAAAUGUAAUGAUUUUCGUUCUGAUAUGAACCUGGCAGAGGGCAGAAGCCUUAGUGGGUUUACUUCAUCCAGCCCACCUUUGUUUAGUCAACGUCAUGGCUGUGCUGCUGGUUUAACAGUCAAAGCAUCAAACAUUACUGCUUCUUUGGCUGAGAUGAUCUCUUGUUUGGGGACUGAACCAGAUGCUGCUGAUUACAGGAGUAUCUUGAGCACAUUUUGGCAAAUUUCAUACCAGCUAUCGGAAGAAACUAAACUCACUUUGUCUGGUGCCUGGAAAAUGCCUAGUUCAUUGUCACAGCCAAUCAGACUUGGUAAUGUUGCCGUUCCAAAAGUCAAUUUGCGAUCCCAUUUCAGACCUCAUGUAAUGGCACAAGCAUCCCCUUCUGCCACUACAAUGUCUACCAUAGGAAUUAUAUCAGGAGGAUCUGCUGCCAUAACAUUCGAGUUUGAUGAAAGUACAAAAUUUGGGGGAUGGGUUGAGGUGCAAAAGUCAAACCCAAGCCCCAGUCUCUUGCAGUGGGCCAUCACCUUAUCUGAUACUCCGGAUGAUGAGGUAGGCUGGGGUGUGAGUGUGGGAGGAAGGGUUGAAGGGCAAUCAAAUCUUGUUCGGUUGGAAGGCUUUCUCAAUUUCAGUAUGGGUGAGAGAGGCAGCUUGCAGCCUGGUCUUGUGUGUGUGAUGGAUGGGACAAGUCGAACCCCGGCACUGGUGUUUCGAUCAAGUUGGUUUAUGUGACUAUCUGACCGACUGAAGUCUAUGGUUGACUAUAAAUUACUAGAAGUUAUGGUGCUUGUGCCUUGGUGGAUGAAUCAAUUCCUCCUGCACAAGUUCUUCUAGAGCUUAAUGUCCAUCAUCAUCCAACUUGCAAGCAUGAUUCUAUGGUGAGAUAAGCCAAUGGUCUAUUCCAAUCCAGGUAUGAGAACCUAGCAAACUAUUAUAAUCUUGAGAUAAAUCAUAUGGCAGAACCAAAAACAAACAAAUCCAGGCUGAAAACAACAAAAGAAAGGACAUGCAUUUUUGCUCAGGGAAUACAACAUCUGUAAAUGAGUUGGUAGGCUAACUGAAUAAUUGCACAACAACAUGCUAUUUUAAUGGAAUAUGCUGGAAAGAUUUGAACCUAUGGGAGACCCAACUUUAAUGGGCAUUUAGUGGAGCCCUCUUUCCAGCUUUUAUGACCAGUCCUGAAGUAGGUGCCCUGUGGGAUGGCAUACUCUCUUUUAAAAGUGAGAGGGGACUUUGAUUCAAUUCUACUUUAACAUGCUCGACAGGAUAAACAACAUUUCUAUCAAAUGGUGUUAGGUGGGCCUAGGUUUGCCACCCAAAAUUGUUUGGUGGGAACUGACGAUUUGUGAUAUUUCAGGCCAACUUGGUGGAAUGUAUUUCAUCUUAUGUGGAAUUAUUGUAGUUGCGGAGUUUGAAUUUCUUUGAGUUGCAUACUUGUUGCCUAGGCCUAGAUUUAUUUUAUUUUUUUUAUUUUGUUGGGUGUGGGUCAACAGCAUGGUAACAAAUUAUCUGAGUUAUUUGAAUUUCGUGAGUUGGCUAAAUGAUUCUUCAAGUUCUCUAAAUCUUGAAACUAAUCAGGAAUCAUUAAAUUAUUGAUGGAUUUAUGAUUUGGUCGUAGUUAUUAUUUGACUUAAUAAAUACUCAUAUAUUACAAAUAAAUGAUGUUUGUUGUUUUGCAACCGUAUGUCAUUCUUCUUUCUACUGUUCUUUUGUUGAAGCCAUCAACCUUUUUAUAAAUUCUCGUUGUCUCUCUUGUGGAAUUUGUUCGUUAAUUCUGAACUUUGUGACUGUUAUAAGGUAAUGAAUUGCUCGGCAACGAAUCAAUCGAUGUAUGAUUGAGUUUUACUUUUGACAAGAUUUGGGUGGUUAGAGGUAUUUGGAAAAAGGCUACCCGCUAUUUUGUAGCUCUAGUUUGUAGCUCGAUGAUGAUAACGAUGGCAACAUCAUCCUUCUCUAGUGAAUCAAUUAAUCUACGAUCGCACUCCACCUUUACCAGGAGUUGGAACCUCUGGAAAAGUGCAGCCCACUAUUGUGCAGCUCAUCAGCAAUGAUGAUGAUACCACCACCACCAUCUCCUCCAAGUGAACUAAUUAGUCUAUAAUUGAAUUCCACCUUUACUAGACUUGGGAGGUUAGAGAUAUUUGGAUAAGGGAUGCGCACCAUUGUGUCUAUCAUGAUGAUGGUGUCAACGAUGAAGAGCAUGAUGAUGAUGAUGAUGAAUAGCAUCGUUAUGUGAGAUGAAUGUAGAAAUAAAAGAACUAGCACAGACCUCUUGAAAUCUCCCAUUGCUACGGUGAAUGUUCGACUUGAAUUGAUGAUAAACUGCAACCUGAAUUGAGUAUAAACUGGUGCAGACAUUAACAAACCCAGUCGAAAAGCUGUGCAGGAACGGUACCAGAGUGGAUGAAAAAGGGCAUAUGGUGAUAAUGCCUGUGGAUCAAGCUGGGAUGAGACGAGUGGAAUGAGGAUAUAGUUUCUAUUGUAAUUUUCCUUUUUUCCUUUGAUAAAAACAAAAGCAACAAUGCCAAGCUGGAAAACGAGGCAAAGAAUAAAGAUCACCUACUCGACAGCUGAAAGCUGACCCAAAUGCGAUUUCCCAGUCUAACCAAAGCUUAUGUGAUCAUCCGUAAUCUGCAAGCUCAUUGGCGGCAAAAUCAUGCUUUCUUGUGGCAAGAAGAUCUAAAGAUUUUUCAAGGAUUACCAAAGUAUGAGAUUUUAGAUAAACAGUUUUUAGAACUAAAUGGGCAAACAUCAGCUUUUUGGCA